rnacentral:rRNA from 1 species
AGAGUUUGAUCAUGGCUCAGGACGAACGCUGGCGGCGCGCUUAACACAUGCAAGUCGAACGAGAACCAGUCCUUCGGGGUUGGGGAAAGUGGCGAACGGGUGAGUAACACGUGGGUAAUCUGCCCUCGGCACCGGAAUAGCCCGGGGAAACCCGGAUUAAUGCCGGAUAGCCUCUCGAGCCCUCGGGUUCGUGAGAAAAGGUAGCUUCGGCCUCUGGCCGAGGAGGAGCCCGCGGCGGAUUAGCUUGUUGGUGAGGUAACGGCUCACCAAGGCGACGAUCCGUAGCUGGUCUGAGAGGACGAUCAGCCACACUGGGACUGAGACACGGCCCAGACUCCUACGGGAGGCAGCAGUGGGGAAUCUUGCGCAAUGGGCGAAAGCCUGACGCAGCGACGCCGCGUGCGGGAAGAAGGCCUUCGGGUUGUAAACCGCUUUCAGGAGGGACGAAGCCACUCGGGUUAAUAGCCCAGAGGGUGACGGUACCUCCAGAAGAAGCCCCGGCUAACUACGUGCCAGCAGCCGCGGUA